UGACGGUAUCUUACCAGAAAGGGACGGCUAACUACGUGCCAGCAGCCGCGGUAAUACGUAGGUCCCGAGCGUUGUCCGGAUUUAUUGGGCGUAAAGCGAGCGCAGGCGGUUUGAUAAGUCUGAAGUAAAAGGCUGUGGCUUAACCAUAGUACGCUUUGGAAACUGUCAAACUUGAGUGCAGAAGGGGAGAGUGGAAUUCCAUGUGUAGCGGUGAAAUGCGUAGAUAUAUGGAGGAACACCGGUGGCGAAAGCGGCUCUCUGGUCUGUAACUGACGCUGAGGCUCGAAAGCGUGGGGAGCGAACAGGAUUAGAUACCCUGGUAGUCCACGCCGUAAACGAUGAGUGCUAGGUGUUGGGUCCUUUCCGGGACUCAGUGCCGCAGCUAACGCAUUAAGCACUCCGCCUGGGGAGUACGACCGCAAGGUUGAAACUCAAAGGAAUUGACGGGGGCCCGCACAAGCGGUGGAGCAUGUGGUUUAAUUCGAAGCAACGCGAAGAACCUUACCAGGUCUUGACAUCCCAGUGACCGUCCUAGAGAUAGGAUUUUUCUUCGGAACACUGGUGACAGGUGGUGCAUGGUUGUCGUCAGCUCGUGUCGUGAGAUGUUGGGUUAAGUCCCGCAACGAGCGCAACCCCUAUUGUUAGUUGCCAUCAUUCAGUUGGGCACUCUAGCGAGACUGCCGGUAAUAAACCGGAGGAAGGUGGGGAUGACGUCAAAUCAUCAUGCCCCUUAUGACCUGGGCUACACACGUGCUACAAUGGCUGGUACAACGAGUCGCAAGUCGGUGACGGCAAGCUAAUCUCUUAAAGCCAGUCUCAGUUCGGAUUGUAGGCUGCAACUCGCCUACAUGAAGUCGGAAUCGCUAGUAAUCGCGGAUCAGCACGCCGCGGUGAAUACGUUCCCGGGCCUUGUACACACCGCCCGUCACACCACGAGAGUUUGUAACACCCGAAGUCGGUGAGGUAACCAUUUGGAGCCAGCCGCCUAAGGUGGGAUAGAUGAUUGGGGUGAAGUCGUAACAAGGUAGCCGUAUCGGAAGGUGCGGCUG
rnacentral:rRNA from 1 species